CCUGGAGUGCCUCAGGUACUGCAGGAUUCUAUCCCAACUGGGCACCACACAGAGCUACUUAGUUAAUUGAUCCGUUUAGUGAUUGCCUAAAUUCAACACACCUGGUCCUCUAGGUCGGUUAAAUAAAAAACAGGACCACGGUUGCUUAACCCUGACAUAGUAGGUGGACAGCAUACUACCACUACCAUGCGCCAUCCCCAACCGAGUCAGGUCCUGUGCUCUGCCAGGAAGCCUUGAUAAGCACACAGGUGUGGGCAAUUGAGAUUAUUGUCAAUCAGAGAAAGGUGGCCACAAGCCUCGGCCUGGCAGUGUUUGUUUUGUGUUAGCUUUAGUUUUGGGUCAUGCCCUCUUUGUACUCAGCCCAUGUAGCUAGGCCUAGGACACCUAGACAUAGCGUGUGCAACAAUAUCAGUAGGGUAGCUAGCUGGUAUCGUAACAUCCCUUGUGUAGUGAUGAGCAAUGAGUGUAAUGUGUGUAAUGAGUGUGUAGUCUUAAAACAUUUAGGGGCUGGUUUCCCGGACACAGAUUAAGCCUAGUACUUGGGACGACAAAUAUACCAGGACUAACAGAAAACCAUUGUAACUUCAGUCCAGUCCUGCUCCAGCCAGCCCCCAUCGUCCUCAGCGAAAUGUUGUUUCUGUGUGGGAGCAGCUCCCUAAUAUGGGUCAUCUGAAUAACAAGUCACUUUCCAGAGAAGAGCUGCACUGUGUUGACUUCCCAUCUGCAUUGUGUACAAUCUGUUCUCGUUAAGGCUGAAUAUGACAAGAGAUACAAGAGAGUUCCGGGAAUGUGAAGGAAAGACCAUUAGAGAGGGAGGAAGAAAGAGGAAGGGAGAGUGAGAGGGAAGGAGUCUGAGAGAGAUGGGAUAGAAUGCCAGCAUCUUGUGAAGCUCUCUCUCUGUUUACACAGUCUAACAGACAGACUAUCCCCUGAAGAACUGGGGGAGGUGGGGAGUGAGAAAGAAAGAAAACAAGAGGCUAGAAUGGCUACAGUCUUCUUUGGCUCUGAAUCUGGUACCCCGUAAUUGAGUUUAGUUUCUGAAUGUCAGGUAUCCAUCCGCACUCCUUCUUGCACAAUCCCAACAUCUGCUGUCAACUUUAUAGAGGAAACUCAGACUGAAUGGUGAUGAGGCCGGUAACUAACUGUCCCUUUUGCCUACCUUCCUGCUGUGGAGAGCACAAAUGAAGAGUCAAAACAGCCAUCAGUGGUUGUUGUUGUCGUUUCCGACAAGAGAACCAAUCUGUCAUCUCCUAGACCGUAGGCUCCUGUUGCUGGCGGGGCCGGAAGCUGAGAAUAGAACUACAGGGAAUGCCAUCCUAGGUGAGGAGGUCUUCCAGACUGGGACAGAGACUGUCCACAGCACCGUUGGCCACGGGGAGGUCUAUGGAAGGCGGAUCACCGUAGUUGACACCCCACCCUGGAUUACACCCUGUGACUCAGCAGAUAAUGCUACUGAUGUGGUCGGACGCAAGGUCAACAUAUAGUAGACACCCCCAACUGGGACUGGGUUUCUGUGAGGAGCAUAAUGAAGCAAGGGGCCGACUUCCUCCAGCCCAGCCGCCAUAUAACCACCACAGGUUCUAGGAUAGGGCAGGGUCAGAGACCUGAACUGGGUACCGGUAUGGAAAACACACUUGAGCUCCACAGUUUGGACCUGCUUGUACAAAAUAGAGGAAAUUCAGACUGAAUGUUGAUGAGGCCUUCUUGCUCGUACACAGAGAUUAUGGGUCAGCCAUCGUAGAACAGAACUCCUGGAGCAUAUGAGGGUUAAGUGCUUUGAUCAAAGGCACAUCGACAAAACAUCCGUGUGUUGUCGAAUCCUAAUGCAGCCGGAGAGAGAGACAGUUCUGACAUAUGGAAUUGGUUUAAGAUGGUCACACUAUGGAUUAUUUCGCUAUUUAAUUUAGAAUUUUAAGACCCUUUCAGAUAUAAAAAAAAGAUGUACUUUUUUUUGGUUUAUAAAGAGAAACGCAUUGAAUAACACAUUCAUAAAUGGCAAAAAAAGACAGUAAAAAGCAAUGUUUUGAA